GCAGUGGUGAGUCAGUGGUAGAAUUCUCGUCUUCAAUGCCGGAGACCGGGGUUCAAUUCCUGGCCGGUGCA
rnacentral:tRNA from 1 species